UGGAUAAUUUGGCGCUAAUCCGCGCCCUUGGUAAGGGAGAGGUCGACAGUUCAAUCCUGUCCGGCAGCACCA
rnacentral:tRNA from 1 species